CGCACCCUAGGGAGAUGCGCGGCGUCCGCGCGGGUCAGCGCCCCAGUACCACUCCCCAGGUACACGCUUCCCUUGCGCGGCGAGUUUCAACUCAGGUCAGAACGGAGCUGAGCGGUGGGCGGAGUGGAGAAAGGUCCCGGAAAUUGGCCAGGAGGGGGCGGUUUCGAGGUAGUGCCUUCGAAGUGUUGUCCAGACGAGCAGGGAGGGUCGCCUCCACCUGCGGGGCCUCCUCCAGCUCCACAAAAGUAGGUUAGGUUCCCAGAUGACCCUGCACUCCAGAGUGCCCUGUCUGGGUCUAUUACUUGAAAAGGUGGCAUGUGAUGACUCAAGCCCAGCCACAUGGAUGAAGAAUCACCCCU
rnacentral:lncRNA from 1 species